GUCUCUGUAGCGCAAUAAUGUACGCGCGUUGGACUUCUAAUCCAAAGGUCGUGGCUUCGAAUACCACCUGAAAUG